CCUACGGGAGACAGCAGUGGGGAAUAUUGGACAAUGGGGGGAACCCUGAUCCAGCGACGCCGCGUGAGGGAAGAAGUAUUUCGGUAUGUAAAGCUCUAUCAGCAGGGAAGAAAGAAAUGACGGUACCUGACUAAGAAGCCCCGGCUAACUACGUGCCAGCAGCCGCGGUAAUACGGAGGGGGCAAGCGUUAUCCGGAUUUACUGGGUGUAAAGGGAGCGUAGACGGCGAUGCAAGUCUGAAGUGAAAGGCGGGGGCCCAACCCCCGGACUGCUUUGGAAACUGUAUGGCUGGAGUGCAGGAGAGGUAAGUGGAAUUCCUAGUGUAGCGGUGAAAUGCGUAGAUAUUAGGAGGAACACCAGUGGCGAAGGCGGCUUACUGGACUGUAACUGACGUUGAGGCUCGAAAGCGUGGGGAGCAAACAGGAUUAGAUACCCGUGUAGUC
rnacentral:rRNA from 1 species